UACGUAGGGCGCAAGCGUUGUCCGGAAUUAUUGGGCGUAAAGAGCUCGUAGGCGGCUUGUCGCGUCGGAUGUGAAAGCUCGGGGCUUAACCCCGGGUCUGCAUUCGAUACGGGCAGACUAGAGUGCGGUAGGGGAGACUGGAAUUCCUGGUGUAGCGGUGAAAUGCGCAGAUAUCAGGAGGAACACCGGUGGCGAAGGCGGGUCUCUGGGCCGUAACUGACGCUGAGGAGCGAAAGCGUGGGGAGCGAACAGG
rnacentral:rRNA from 1 species